rnacentral:piRNA from 1 species
AAGAACAUGCUGAGAACUGUAGAG